GCACCAGCACCCCGCUUUUGCCCUUGCUGCAAAGGUUCCAGAGCAUCAUUUGCAGGAAGGAUACGCCCCACUCCGAGGGUGACAUGCACCUUUUGUCUGGCCCUCUGAGCCCCAGCGAGAGUUUCCUGAGGUACCUCACCCUUCCCCAAGACAACGAGCUUGCCACUGAUCUGGGACAGACCGUGGUUGUCGUCAUGGGCCAUUUAGACCGUCCAGCUACGCCCUGUUUGCCUCCGCUGUGUAGCGCUCCGACGUCUCAUAAGUCAUUAAAAGAAAGGAGGCCCCAUGCAGUGUCCCACGCCUGUAAUCCCAGCACUUUGGGAGGCCGAGGUGGAUGGAUCACAAGGGAUCAUUGCAAGAGGUCAUAGGUUGGGGGUUAACAGGAUGGAAAUACUACGCCAAUGUGAUUGGUCCGAUCCAGUGUGAAGGCCUGGCCAACGUGGGAGUCACACAGAUUGCCUGUGCAGAGAAGCGCUUCCUGAUUCUGUCACACAAUGGCCAUGUGCACACACAGGCCUACAAUAGUGACACACUGGCCCCACAGCUGGUCCAAGGCCUUGCCUCCAGAAACAUUGUAAAAAUUGCUGCCCAUUCUGAUGGUCAUCACUGCGUAGCCUUGGCUGCCACUGGAGAGGUGUACUCCUGGGCUUUGGGGACAGCGGACGGCUGGGCCAUGGGGACACUGUGGCAAGUGUGGUCCUGGGGAGAUGGUGACUGUGGUAAAUUGGGCAGAGGUGGUAGUGAUGGCUGCAAAACCCCAAAGCUGAUUGAAAAGCUUCAAGACUUGGAUGUGGUCAGAGUCCGCUGUGGAAGUCAGUUUUCCAUCGCUUUGACGAAAGAUGGCCAAGUUUAUUCAUGGGGAAAAGGUGACAACCAGAGACUUGGACACGGACCAGAGGGACAUGUUCCUUAUCCAAAACUCUUAGAAGGCUUGCGAGGGAAGAAGGUGAUUGAUGCGGCUGCCGGCUCCACCCACUGCCUGGCUCUGACUGAGGACAGCGAGGUCCACAGCUCAGGGAGCAAGGACCAGUGCCAGCACUUUGACACCUUGCGCGUGACCAAGCCAGAACCUGCAGCAUUGCCGGGACUGGACACCAAACACACAGUGGGAAUUGCCUGUGGGCCUGCCCAGUUUCAGGCAAUGACGUGAACAUAAGUCGAGGUUGUCAAUUCAUUAGUGAUCUUCUGGUGGGCAGCUUGAUGACUGCUGGAGGGUUGGAGUCAGCCUUACACGCAGCCAUUACUGCAGAGAUCCAGGUUAUUGAAGCCCAAAAAGAAGCACAGAAGGAAAAAGAAGUUGAUGAACAGGAAGAAAAUGCCUCAACAUUUCAUAGAAGCAGGACUGCAUUGGAUAAAGACCUUGUUAAUAUGGGAAUCUGUGAGUCUUCUGGCAAACGGUGUUUACCUCUGGUUCAGCUCGUACAACAGCUUCUUAGGGGACUGCCGAAUGGCCCAUGCCGAGCAGAAGCUGAUGGAUGACCCUCUGAACAAAACCCAUUACAACAACCUGAUCCGCCCGGCCACCAGCUCCUCACAGCUCAUCUCCAUCGAUACGGAGCUCUCCCUGGCCCAGUGCAUCAGUUGGUAGGUGCAGAGGACACGUGUGGCUCAGGCUCAGGUGAAGAGGCAGCUCAUGCCCAAGCCCCAGGCAAUCAGUGUCCAGAGGAAUGAAAUGACUAGAGUUGACUUAGACUCACCAAUACAUGGCGGGGAGGCUGGAGGAGGGUCUAUGAGGUUUGUAGGUGUCCAAUAUUUAAUGCGGUCAUGGUUUUGUUAAAGAAGAAACGAGGGUGGGAGCGGGGUCACCACUGGCUAGGCAGCCAAUGGGCCUGCAUAGACUCUGGUCCACUGAGUCUCCAGCACGACCAUAAGCUUCUCCUCCUCAUCCUCCCAGCCCCACCCUACUCUCUCCCCCAGCUUGCUCAGCAGGUGACCUUACCGGCUCCCUACUUGUUGGGGGAAAUAAGAACCAGACUGGGGGAACUGAUGGGUACAGAGGCCCAGGUAUAGGGGCAGGACCCCAGGCAGUGCAGCCCCAACUGAUCCAGGUGGGUGAGGGUCUGGAGAGUGGGCAUGGCUGCUGCAGGCAUGGAAAGGAGGCGCAGAUGGCGGCACUCCCAGGGACCACCGUCAGGGCUCCAUAUGUGGAUGUGUGCAGAGGUGGGUGCUGAGGGAGGAGGUGCAGGGAAUUUCUCAUCUUCUCUCCACUGCCUCUGAGUUGGAGAUGUCAGAGGGAGCCAUGGCCCACUGUAAACUAACACAGUGUCCCCACCCACAGGGUUAGAACCCCUCCCCUGGAAGCGGCUCUGAGGGGAGCAGUCACAUGUGGAGAGUGCAGGGCGCUGUGUCCAGCCAGGGGAAGGAGGACACCAAGGGGGUUGCCCCUCUUCUGGCCAGGUGGCUGCCUUCUGACACACCAGCCUCUCUCUAGUAUGGUGGCCCCCACACACCCAGCCUGUCAAACCUACAGCCCUCAAGAAGGCUUUGGCCAAAUUAAUAAACAGCUCCGUCUCCCAGGAGGAAGCACAGCUGAAGGAUGCGGAGGGCAGUAGAGUUUAUGCUCCGCCCCCGCCCCUCCACAGUCAGACCAGAAAGAAGGGGGCUUUCAGCCAGGGUCACCCAGGCUGGGGUCUGAGUGUCACUGUCCAGCUAUUGGCCUCUUGCUUAACAGGUGAGCCCAGCUGCUCCUGUGCAGCUGCCACCCCAGUGAGGGUGAACCAGCCAGCGAGUGACAUUUCUGAUAGUUGGGGUUACAGGAAAGAUUAGGCUGUGGGCUGCUGGGCCAGGAAGGGGUGUUUAUUUUCAGGGUUUACCUACUGACUUGACCAGGGAGCGUUAUAGGUACAACCAGUUUAAAGAUGGAAAUUUUGAGAGAGCAGACAGGGACUUAGUGCUGGGUAAGGCAAGCAGGCUUCUCAAAGCAGCUCUUUUGGGGAAGCCAGAAUCCUGUACCAAUGUCGUCAGCACGUUCAUCAGCUGCUGGGGGAGUGCCGGACAGGGUUAAAGCACAGGAGAACUUUCUGGAUGACAGGAAUGUUCUAUAUCUUCAAAGGAGGUGGGAUACAUGGGUAAUGCAUUUAUUAAAAUUGAUGAAAAUAUACACCAGAUCUGUGCAUUUCACUGAAGAUAAAUUAUACCUCAAUUUUAAAACAUUUUUUAAAAGAGAGAUGGGCCAGACGCAGUGGCUCACGCCUGUAAUCCCAGCACUUUGGGAGGCCGAGGCGGGUAGAUCACCUGAGUCAGGAGCUCGAGACCAGCCUGGAAAACAUGGUUGAAUCCUGUCUCUAUUAAAAAUACAAAAAUUAGCCAGGCAUGGGGACACAGGCCUGUAGUCCCAGCUACUCGGGAGGCUGAGGCAGGAGAAUUGCUUGAACCCAGUAGGCAGAGGUUACAGUGAGCAGAGAUCACGCCACUGUACUGGAGCCUGGGCAACAGAGCGAGACUCCAUCUCAAAAGAAAAAAAAAAAGAAAAGACAGAUGAAGGUUUUCAACUUUCACUAAAGGCAGAGUAGCUUGUUAUAGAUUAGCCUCCCCCCAAAAGCAGUUAGAGAAACUGCACAAAAAUGUGCCCCCACCACCAAAAACAACUGUUUGAAGGUAAUUGGAGACCUCAGUCAGGACUUGAGUGACCAGGCCUAGGAGGUGACCCUGACAGU